rnacentral:rRNA from 1 species
UAGUCCACGCCAUAAACGAUGACAACUAGCCGUCGGGACCCUUGAGAUCUUGGUGGCGAAGCUAACGCGAUAAGUUGUCCGCCUGGGGAGUACGGCCGCAAGGUUAAAACUCAAAUGAAUUGACGGGGGCCCGCACAAGCGGUGGAGCAUGUUGUUUAAUUCGAUGCAACGCGAAGAACCUUACCACCCCUUGACAUCCUGCGAAUUUUCUAGAGAUAGAUUAGUGCCUUCGGGAACGCAGUGACAGGUGCUGCAUGGCUGUCGUCAGCUCGUGUCGUGAGAUGUUGGGUUAAGUCCCGUAACGAGCGCAACCCUUGCCCUUAUUUGCCAGCGGAUUAUGCCGGGAACUCUAAGGGGACUGACGGUGACAAACCGUAGGAAGGUGGGGACGACGUCAAGUCAUCAUGGCCCUUACGGGGUGGGCUACAAACGUGCUACAAUGGGGAGUACAAAGGGCGGCGAACCAGCAAUGGUAAGCGAAUCCCAAAAAACUUCUCGUAGUCCGGAUUGGGGUCUGCAACUCGACCCCAUG